AUUGGUGUCGAUGACGCAGAGGGUCCACCCGUUCCCAUCCCGAACACGGAAGUUAAGCUCUGUGGUGCCGAAAAUAGUGCCUUGGCGACGAGGUGUGAAAAUAGGGAGAUGCCAAUA
rnacentral:rRNA from 1 species